ACGACGAAACGUGUCGUCUAGUAAACAUUCACGAAACAAAAUUGGCAUAAUUUUAACAUUAUUUAAUUAUCACAAGUUUGUCGUAUGCAUAUUACUGUUACGCGACAAAUAUGGUUGUGGCAUUUACUGUUACGCGAUGAAAGGUUUCAUUGCGUAAAGUUUAAUAUACAUAUUUUUUUCUAUUGGGUUCUGAAAACAUUUUUUAAAUUAAAACAACAAUUUUAUUGUUUUUAAAAUUAAAUUGUAACAAUAAUUUAUAAAAAAGUUAAUUACAUUUUUUUUAUAAUUAAAUUGUGGCAAUAAUGAAUAAAUUUGUUUUAUUUAUAAUACAAAGAAAAA
rnacentral:lncRNA from 1 species